rnacentral:rRNA from 1 species
CGGGGGAAGGUAGCUUGCUACCGGACCUAGCGGCGGACGGGUGAGUAAUGCUUAGGAAUCUGCCUAUUAGUGGGGGACAACAUCUCGAAAGGGAUGCUAAUACCGCAUACGUCCUACGGGAGAAAGCAGGGGAUCUUCGGACCUUGCGCUAAUAGAUGAGCCUAAGUCGGAUUAGCUAGUUGGUGGGGUAAAGGCCUACCAAGGCGACGAUCUGUAGCGGGUCUGAGAGGAUGAUCCGCCACACUGGGACUGAGACACGGCCCAGACUCCUACGGGAGGCAGCAGUGGGGAAUAUUGGACAAUGGGGGGAACCCUGAUCCAGCCAUGCCGCGUGUGUGAAGAAGGCCUUAUGGUUGUAAAGCACUUUAAGCGAGGAGGAGGCUACUUUAGUUAAUACCUAGAGAUAGUGGACGUUACUCGCAGAAUAAGCACCGGCUAACUCUGUGCCAGCAGCCGCGGUAAUACAGAGGGUGCGAGCGUUAAUCGGAUUUACUGGGCGUAAAGCGUGCGUAGGCGGCUUAUUAAGUCGGAUGUGAAAUCCCCGAGCUUAACUUGGGAAUUGCAUUCGAUACUGGUGAGCUAGAGUAUGGGAGAGGAUGGUAGAAUUCCAGGUGUAGCGGUGAAAUGCGUAGAGAUCUGGAGGAAUACCGAUGGCGAAGGCAGCCAUCUGGCCUAAUACUGACGCUGAGGUACGAAAGCAUGGGGAGCAAACAGGAUUAG